rnacentral:rRNA from 1 species
CAGCCGCCGCGGUAAUACCGGCGGCCCGAGUGGCGGUCACUAUUUUUGGGCUUAAAGCGUCCGUAGCCGGGGUGGGAAGUCCUCCGGGAAAUCUGGCCGCUUAACGGUCAGAAUGCCGGAGGAUACUCCCAGCCUAGGGAGCGGGAGAGGGCGAGGGGAUUCCCGGAGUAGGGGGGAAAUCCUAUAAUCCCGGGAGGACCACCUGUGGCGAAGGCGCUCGGCUGGAACGCGUCCGACGGUGAGGGACGAAGGCCAGGGGAGCAAACCGGAUUAGAUACCCGGGUAGUCCUGGCUGUAAACGAUGCGGACUUUGUGUCGGACAAGCUAUGAGCUUGUCCGGUGCCGGAGGGAAACCGUUAAGUCCGCCGCCUGGGGAGUACGGCCGCAAGGCUGAAACUUAAAGGAAUUAGGCGGG